ACCCCUCGAGUCGACUAGCCAUGCGAGUCGAUGUAGCAAUACAUGGCGUACUGCUCAGUAACACGUGGACAACCUACCCUCCGGACGGGUAUAAACCCGGGAAACUGGGUAUAAUCCCCGAUAGUCCUCGACUGCUGGAAUGCAUCGAGGACGAAAGCUCCGGCGCCGGAGGAUGGGUCUGCGGCCUAUCAGGUAGUAGUGGGUGUAGCGUACCUACUAGCCUACGACGGGUACGGGUUGUGAGAGCAAGAGCCCGGAGAUGGAUUCUGAGACACGAAUCCAGGCCCUACGGGGUGCAGCAGGCGCGAAAACUUUACAAUGCCGGCAACGGCGAUAAGGGGACCUCGAGUGCCAGGUUACAAAUCUGGCUGUCGAGAUGCCUAAAAAGCAUUUCAUAGCAAGGGCCGGGCAAGACCGGUGCCAGCCGCCGCGGUAACACCGGCGGCUCGAGUGGUAACCGUUAUUAUUGGGUCUAAAGGGUCUGUAGCCGGCCGGAUAAGUCUCUUGGGAAAUCUGGCAGCUUAACUGUCAGGCUUUCAGGAGAUACUGUCUGGCUCGAGGCCGGGAGAGGUGAGAGGUACUUCAGGGGUAGGGGUGAAAUCUUGUAAUCCUUGAAGGACCACCAGUGGCGAAGGCGUCUCACCAGAACGGACCUGACGGCAAGGGACGAAAGCUAGGGGCACGAACCGGAUUAGAUACCCGGGUAGUCCUAGCCGUAAACGAUACUCGCUAGGUGUCGGCCACGGUGCGACCGUUGUCGGUGCCGUAGGGAAGCCGUGAAGCGAGCCACCUGGGAAGUACGGCCGCAAGGCUGAAACUUAAAGGAAUUGGCGGGGGAGCACCACAACGGGUGGAGCUUGCGGUUUAAUUGGAGUCAACGCCGGG
rnacentral:rRNA from 1 species